CGUCUCCUACGGGACGCAGCAGUAGGGAAUCUUCGGCAAUGGGGGCAACCCUGACCGAGCAACGCCGCGUGAGUGAAGAAGGUUUUCGGAUCGUAAAGCUCUGUUGUAAGAGAAGAACGUGUGUGAGAGUGGAAAGUUCACACAGUGACGGUAACUUACCAGAAAGGGACGGCUAACUACGUGCCAGCAGCCGCGGUAAUACGUAGGUCCCGAGCGUUAUCCGGAUUUAUUGGGCGUAAAGUGAGCGCAGGCGGGUGGGCAAGUCAUUAGGUAAAGGCUGUGGCUUCACC
rnacentral:rRNA from 1 species